GACGAACCGUGCGAACGUUGUUCGGAAUCACUGGGCUUAAAGGGCGCGUAGGCGGCAAAUCAAGCCCGGGGUGAAAGCCCUCAGCUCAACUGGGGAAGUGCCUCGGAUACUGGCUGCUGGAGGGAGGUAGGGUCGAGGGAACUCUGGUGGAGCGGUGAAAUGCGUUUGAUAUCAGAAGGAACGCCGGUGGCGAAAGCGCUCGACUGGACCCUUUCUGACGCUGAGGCGCGAAAGCUAGGGAGCAAACGGGAUAGAA
rnacentral:rRNA from 1 species